rnacentral:rRNA from 1 species
CAAACGACUCUCGGCAACGGAUAUCUCGGCUCACGCAUCGAUGAAGAACGUAGCAAAAUGCGAUACUUGGUGUGAAUUGCAGAAUCCCGUGAACCAUCGAGUUUUUGAACGCAAGUUGCGCCCAAAGCCACUCGGCCAAGGGCACGUCUGCCUGGGCGUCACGC